GCCGGGCGUGGUGGUGCAUGCCUGUAGUCCCAGCUACUCAGGAGGCUGAGGUGGGAGAAUCACUUGAACCUGGGAGGUGGAGGUUGCAGUGAGCCGAGAUCAUACCACUGCACUCCAGCCUGGGUGACAGAGUGAGACCCUGUCUCAA
ensembl:misc_RNA Metazoa_SRP Metazoan signal recognition particle RNA